rnacentral:rRNA from 1 species
AUGGCGGCGCCCAACCGGAGAGGCAGCAGCGGCCGGAAGAAGAUCGUCAUCCGCCGGAUCGAGCAGGAGGAUGCCCGGUUCGUCUGCUACUCCAAGCGCCGCCAGGGGUUCUUCAGCAAGGCCACGGAUCUGGCGGUCCUGACAGGCGCCCACGUGGCCGCCCUCGCCUUCUCUCCCCGCGGCAGGGCCUUCUCCUUCGGCCAC